CAUCUGAUAAGUAGAGAAAAUUUCGGAGGUUAAUCAAUUUUCCUUCUCUUUUAAUGUGCUUGUGAUUUUUAAUCAUCUGCGGGUCUCAAUUCUUAAACCGAACCGUUAGAAUGUAGGUAAUAGACCCCCCGACGAAAUGGAAAAGCCCGCCGAUUCUGCUUCCCUCAAAUUUUGUGUCGAUUCUGUGAACACGAUCUUCCACUUGUGCAAAAACAUAUGGACGUACUAUGUGCCAAAUUUGGUGUUAAAUUUCUAGAAGCCGUUUCUAAAGACGAAAAUUCAACUUUAAAAUCAUCCUGCACCUUUGAAGUUCUAAGAAAUCCGAAGGAAAAGUGUUCAUCGUCUGAUUUAUCUAAGAUCAAACAGAAUACCCAGAGUUAUGUAGAUGCGUUGUGUAGCGCAGAAAAGAAAACGGGGAUCGAAGAGGACGAAGAUGAAGAUGCACAAAACGAGCGGAACGACUCGAGUUACGAUUCGGAUUACGAGGCAGGCGACGAAUCGGCGCUCCACGAGGACAUCAGUCGCACCGUUUCUGACACCCUCAAAGCGGAGUUUGAUGAAUAUGUCAACACAAAUGACACGAGUUACAUGAGUAAAGUGGAGUUUGGCCUCAAGCUCGGUUACUCAGAAAAGCUUGUCCAAACAGCACUUCAAAAACUAGGGCCGAAUCCGGAACAAAUGAGUUAUUGGAGGUACGUGUGUUUUUAAGUUCAGCCUUCGUCGAAUAUCAUAGAGACGGCGUAAAGCCGCAAUCACAUAUCUCGUUUGCGGUGUCUGAAAAUCUCCGCCUCUAUGUUAUUCAAGGUGUCUAGCAUCAGGAUUUUCCCGAUUCUAUCAGGAUUUGAGGAAAAAUCGGUCGUAAAAUCAGAAUUUGAGAAAAGUCGGCUGACCGAUCGGAUUUUUUUAUGCUUUCGCAUACGCUCGUGCAGAAAUUUUAAUUUUUCGCCGCAAAAAUCAGGAUUUGGGAAAAUUAUGAAAUCAGGAUUUAGCAGUCAAAAAUCAGGAUUUCCCAAAAUGAAAGAAAACUAGACACCCUGUUAUUUUUUUAAAGGAGAACAAAUUGACAUCAUUCCUUGAAGUUUAUGCAAAAUUUUCUUCGCACAGAGAAGAAAAAUCACGGCAGUUUUAAAGAAUUGCUCUUGAGUAGUUUUCCAUUUAAAAAAUAAAGUAUGACAGGAAGUCUGCGACGUCGCAAACCGAGUCAUGUGAUUGCCGACUUACACUGUCGAGAUGCCUUUCAUAAAACCCAUAGGCGG
rnacentral:lncRNA from 1 species